CUUUGACCUAUAGCUGUAUACUAACCCUUUGGUAUACUUUUCAGUACUUUUUAUCUAAGAAACUGACCUAAGUACAAAACUAAAUGAUGCCCCCUGACAGAUAGACAUAUGGACAUAUACACUUAAAAUUCAUUAGAUCAAAUAAAGGCGAAAUUUGACCUUGACUUUACUAACAAGAAAAUACGUAUACACAAAUUGUAUCUUAGCACUAGAUCUUAGCUUGGUCUAUAGAGAGGCAAUAAUAUGUGGCUACUGGCAGUGAAAAUGUUUACAUGGAGAAGAUGAGAACAUAUCUAUCAAUAAUCUGAUUGGUGUUUAACACCACUGUCGGCACAAUUGUACUACUUUGUGGUGGUCAGUUUUAAUGGGUGUAGGAAGCCACAGUCCCCAGAGAAAACCACCAACCUUCUGUAGGAAAAUCUAUCAAUGAAACUCUGGUUUACCAUUGCUUGACAUAAAAACAUAACUUAGGCUUGAAUAAAUCACAAGGACACAAGGAUAACACAUUCUGGCUCCCCAUAUUCAUAAUAAUAUUACUUUGUUAAUUAGAAACUCAUUAAAUUUGGAUAUAAUUGGUUAACACUAUGUAAAGGUUAAAAAAUACAUUUCCGUUUGCCAGCACUUGAUUCAAUUUAGCAAAAACAAUAAUCACAACCAAGUUGUGAAACUGUCAACCUCAUCAUAAAACUUCAGUCCUUCUCAUAAAAUGGCAGCGAUUGUUUCCACUAUGAUAGAUCAGUAUUCACAAGUUAUGUAAUUAAAAUCUUGACAAACUGUUUCUUGUUUUAAACAUAAAGACAAAU
rnacentral:lncRNA from 1 species